UACGUAGGGCGCAAGCGUUGUCCGGAAUUAUUGGGCGUAAAGAGCUCGUAGGCGGCUUGUCACGUCGGGUGUGAAAGCCCGGGGCUUAACCCCGGGUCUGCAUUCGAUACGGGCUAGCUAGAGUGUGGUAGGGGAGAUCGGAAUUCCUGGUGUAGCGGUGAAAUGCGCAGAUAUCAGGAGGAACACCGGUGGCGAAGGCGGGUCUUUGGGCCGAUACUGACGCUGAGGAGCGAAAGCGUGGGUAGCAAACAGG
rnacentral:rRNA from 1 species